rnacentral:rRNA from 1 species
GACGAACGCUGGCGGCGUGCCUAAUACAUGCAAGUAGAACGCACAGUUUAUACCGUAGCUUGCUACACCAUAGACUGUGAGUUGCGAACGGGUGAGUAACGCGUAGGUAACCUGCCUGGUAGCGGGGGAUAACUAUUGGAAACGAUAGCUAAUACCGCAUAAUAUUAAUUAUUGCAUGAUAAUUAAUUGAAAGGUGCAAUUGCACCACUACCAGAUGGACCUGCGUUGUAUUAGCUAGUAGGUGAGGUAACGGCUCACCUAGGCGACGAUACAUAGCCGACCUGAGAUGGUGAUCGGCCACACUGGGACUGAGAAACGGCCCAGACUCCUACGGGAGGCAGCAGUAGGGAAUCUUCGGCAAUGGGCGAAAGUCUGACCGAGCAACGCCGCGUGAGUGAAGAAGGUUUUCGGAUCGUAAAGCUCUGUUGUAAGAGAAGAACGGGUGUGAGAGUGGAAAGUUCACACUGUGACGGUAUCUUACCAGAAAGGGACGGCUAACUACGUG